UGUAACGAGAAUGAUACGCGAUAUUCG
rnacentral:sRNA from 1 species